rnacentral:rRNA from 1 species
AUUGAACGCUGGCGGCAGGCCUAACACAUGCAAGUCGAACGAGUGGCGGACGGGUGAGUAAUGUCUGGGAAACUGCCUGAUGGAGGGGGAUAACUACCGGAAACGGUAGCUAAUACCGCAUACCAUCAGAUGUGCCCAGAUGGGAUUAGCUUGUUGGUGGGGUAACGGCUAACCAAGGCCACGAUCCCUAGCUCGUCUGAGAGGAUGACGAGCGACACAGGAGCUGAGAAAAGGUACAGGCACCAACGGUAGGAACCAGUGGAGAAUAUUGAACAAUUGGCGCAAGCCUGAUGAAGAAAUGCCGCGUGUAUGAUGAAGGCCUACGGAUUGUAAAGUACUUUCAGCGGGGGGGCGUUACCCGCAGAAGAAGCACCGGCUCACUCCGUGCCAGCAGACGCGGUAAUAC